rfam:Microbacterium sp. STBG005 Ion018_assembly_c5086, whole genome shotgun sequence.
GUGCGGCCUCAAUUUUCAGGCGGCGUCCAUGCGAAAACAACCCACAAAAAUCAGGCGCAGCCACGAUUUCCCUGGUGUUGGCGCAGUAUUCGCGCACCCCGGUUUAGCC